rnacentral:lncRNA from 1 species
CUCAAGUGGUGUGGAUUUACAUUUGGUAAGGUAAAGUCACUACUAAGCACGUAUAAGUGGGUGAGUGGGUGAGUAGGUGAGUGUCUGAGUGAGCAGAUGAGUGGAUGAGUGAGUGAGUGGGUGAGUGUAUGAGUGGGUGAGUAGGUGAGUGUGUGAGUGGUGAGUAGAGACUGAUGUCUCCCACGUGGUCUUGUUGAACAGUCUUUUUUUCUAUCAUGUGUGCUUAACUCUUGUGGGAAGGUGACCUCUGACCUCCCUCCUGCUCACAGAGAACAGGAGCUCCUCUCUCUCAAGCCCUGGGCAGGCAGUGCUUCCCACUGACUUAGUGGCUCCUUCAGUGGUGCUGUAUUCUACAGGAGCACAGCAGAGGAGACAAUGCUGCUGGCGCAGACAUUUCCCCACACCUAGAGACCCAGAAGGGAAACAACCAUUCCUGCUAAACUGACUACUUAAAGGUCAAGCAUUUCUAUAAAUAAGGUGAAUAUUUCUGUGGGUAGAAAGACAUCAAGGGCAGCAAAUAAGAGGCCUGGGUAGACUUUCUUUUAGGACUUAGAAUGUUCCAUGGGUGCAGGGCAGAAAUACCUGAGCUGUGUUUGUGCAUACAGUUAUGUGCUGUUCCCAAAGUGCAGAACCAAAUCUCCUCAACUCUUGAGUUAG